rnacentral:lncRNA from 1 species
CGGAUUGAUUCUCACCCUGAGCUCAGGACUACCAUGUCACCUCUCUGCUUAAGGUGCUGUUAACAACUUAUCCUGCCAGCCCAUAGAUCCCUCCCACCCUCACCCCCAGGUUUUAGUGACUUCCACACUAAAAAGAAAUGAUCUGCUAUAGUACCGAUCCAUUCAUAUAACCACUGGAAUGAAUGCCGCGACCCUGCUUCCGCCAUCUCUCAGGUUGCACUGACUUCCUUGCCUACUAAACUGCUUGCCCAGAGGCUGAGGUGCAUUUUCCCCAGCAAAGCUGAUCCCCGAGGACCCGUUUCUUGCUUGACUUGAGGAACGCAGCUCACCAGAACCCUGCUUCGUGG